CAGGAUAAAAACAUCCCUGCUGGAUCAGUCCCAACUAGUCCAACAACCUGUUUCACUCACUGGCCCACCAGAUGCCUCUGGGAAGCCCACAGGCAAGAGAGUGCAGAAGGUAGCUGGCACACAGACCUGCUUUUUACAACCCAAUCCCAACCCAUUUAAGUGGAAGAGAAUCCCACUGAUUUAAAGAAACUGGCUUCCAAGCAAGUGUGCUUCAAACUGGAGUGUUUGUCAGACUUUAAUUAUGUUUCAUCGAAUGAAAGCAACUCAAACAAAUAAAAGCCCAUCUGCAUGCCUGUUGUUUA